rnacentral:rRNA from 1 species
AGUGAACGCUGGCGGCGUGCCUAAUACAUGCAAGUCGAACGGAGUGGCGCACGGGUGUGUAAUGUAUAGUUAAUCUGCCCUACACUAGAGGACAUCAGUUGGAAACGGCUGCUAAUACUCUAUAGUGUAGGAUGAGGCUAUAUUGUAUCAGCUAGUUGGUGAGGUAAUGGCGCACCAAGGCUAUGACGCAUAACUGGUCUGAGAGGAUGUUCAGUCACACUGGAACGGAGACACGGGCCAGACUCCUACGGGAGGCAGCAGUAGAGAAUAUGGCUCAAGGGGGGAAAGCCUGAAGCAGCAACGCCGCGUGGAGGAUGACACUGUUCGGAGCGUAAACUCCUUUUGUUAGGGAAGCGGUACCUAACGAAUAAGCACCGGCUAACUCCGUGCCAGCAGCCGCGGUAAUAC